rnacentral:rRNA from 1 species
UGAGGAAUAUUGGUCAAUGGGCGAGAGCCUGAACCAGCCAAGUAGCGUGCAGGAUGACGGCCCUAUGGGUUGUAAACUGCUUUUAUAUGGGAAUAAAGUGAGGGACGUGUCCCUUAUUGCAUGUACCAUAUGAAUAAGGACCGGCUAAUUCCGUGCCAGCAGCCGCGGUAAUACGGAAGGUCCAGGCGUUAUCCAGAUUUAUUGGGUUUAAAGGGAGCGUAGGCUGUUUGUUAAGCGUGUUGUGAAAUGUAAGAGCUCAACUUUUAGAUUGCAGCGCGAACUGGCAGACUUGAGUGCGCACAACGUAGGCGGAAUUCAUGGUGUAGCGGUGAAAUGCUUAGAUAUCAUGACGAACUCCGAUUGCGAAGGCAGCUUACGGGAGCGCAACUGACGCUAAAGCUCGAAGGUGCGGGUAUCGAACAGG